CAGCCAAAGCUGCUGCGCCUGCCGAAGGUUCCUAAGGGUCAAGGUUCAGCGGGGUAUUCCGUAUGCUCUCUGGCUUGGAGAAGGAUGGGGAACCUCCAAAUGUCUCCAACGCCCAUCACCCCUGACCACUGGGGAUGCUGGCCGGCGAGGAGGGCAGGCGGAGCCCCACCGCAUCUGAAGGGCUACACAGGCUUCCCACUGUUAUCCCUUUCGACGGAAAGAGCGGUCCCACUUCCCUUCAGCGGGUACCCGAACCCGAAAAGACUCCCACUUCAAGCGGAGGCUGGAUGGCCAUCUGUCAUGGAUGCUUUAGUUGAGAUUCCUGCUUUGCAAUGGGCUGGGGGACCCCAACCCCCCACAAUUCCCCUCCUUUCCUCCCUGUAUACCAGCUUCUUCCCCAUGUUUACAUUCCUCCUGGCUGGGACAGCCAGGCGUGCGGAUGAAAGGGGCCAGAGAUCGCGCGCCUAGGUCCUUCUGCGAAGCGCUCCGCGCCUCUGCCUGCCCUUUCGCCGUUCGCCGUUGCUGGCAGAUUCUCCCCAGUUUUUCGGCAUCGGCUGGCUUGAAGACCUACAGAACAGCCCUCGGCUUCUUUCCAUUCUCUUCCACAAAAAUAAAAUAAAAAAGCGUCCCCUUCUCCCCUCCUUGUCUCGCUCUCCCUCCCUCCCUCUCUCUCCGAUCUUUUCGGAAGUUUUGGUAGCUUGAGAUGCGCCCCUUACAAGAUGCCCAACAGGCGCGUCCGACGGCGCUGCCUCGGAUGAUCGGCUCGACAACUACGCUCGAAGCGGUUCUCUUGCCAUUACUGCGAAGCCCGGGUCUAGCACGUGUCAGACUGGGGAGAUCGCUCGUUUCGCGGGCACGGUCAUUCCGUCCAAUGUGCAGAUGGGAACAGCACCAUCCUAAGUGCUGAAGCGAGAGGAUAAGAGACGGCUGACUUGGGAAGCGAAAGGCAAAAGAAGGACAGACCCGCUGGCGUUUGCCCACCACGGAUUCCGAAGAUUGGGUGAGCGGAGCAGGAGGCGUCCCCCUUAAAGCUGAACUCCACCUUAUUCUCCCACUAUCACAUGACGGUGUGCGGUGCGGGAUGUGAAGAUCCCAGCACACGCGUCUCACCUUUAAGCUGCACAUCUGGAGAACUUCAAGAAAGUGUGACUCUUUAAUGGCUUGCAUAGAUGGGAUGGGGGAGUAAAGACUAUAGUCAUCGCCAUGGCUUUACUUCAGCCAGAAGAAAUGCAAGAACAUACCAUGAGCCCUGCUGGAUCAAGCUGUUAUAAAAGUUGUUGUUGUUGUUUAGUCGUUUAGUCGUGUCCGACUCUUCGUGACC